GGGGACUCAUCAGUUAAUGGUGCGUUCACGUCGAAAGAUGUGAAAUGAACGGGAUGAAUUCAGGGAAACCUUCCAGCAGAGGCUGAUGGCAAUCCUGAGCCAAGCCGGGGGUACACCUCCGGAAGGUGCAGAGACUACCUGGGGACUUCAGGGUCCUUAAUCACAGGCAAGAGCGUCCCGCGCCCCACCGGCUCUCACAGAGAGCCGCGGGCGGUGAGAUAGUCCGCUCCUGCUGGAAACAGCGGG
rnacentral:ncRNA from 1 species